rnacentral:rRNA from 1 species
UGCCCAAUAGCUAGCCCACCUAUCAACCCCAAAUCUACCUUAUUUAUAACCCCAAAUACACUAUCAUCUAAUAAACAAACCAUUUUUCCACCUAAGUACGGGCGACGGAAAAGGAAUUAGGAGCAACAGAGAAAGUACCGCAAGGGAAAGCUGAAAGAGUAAUGAAACAACCCAGUAAAGCACUAGAAAGCAGAGACCGCCCCUCGUACCUUUUGCAUCAUGAUUUAGCCAGAAAGCCUUAAGCAAAAAGCAUUACAGUUUAAUACCCCGAAACUAAGCGAGCUACUCCAAGACAGUCUAAUUUAUAGGACCACCCCGUCUCUGUGGCAAAAGAGUGGGAAGAACUUCGAGUAGAGGUGACAGACCUACCGAGCCUAGUCAUAGCUGGUUGCCUGAGAACUAAAUAGAAGUUUAGCCCUUUAAAUUCUUCAUCCCAAUUGGCCUAAGGCCUUACCACCGAACAAAAGAAAUUAAAGAAGUUAGUCAAAGGGGGUACAGCCCCUUUGAAACAAGACACAACUUUCCAAGGAGGGUAAAGAUCAUAACAAACUCAAGGGUUAAUGCCCCAGUGGGCCUAAAAGCAGCCACCUACUCAGAAAGCGUUAAAGCUCGAGCAUUACACAACCACCCUUUUAAUAAAGACAACACAAUCUCAUCCCCCUAAACAUAUCGGGCCGUUCCAUAAAAAUAUGGAAGCGUACAUGCUAAUAUGAGUAAUAAGAGAGUCCUCCUCUCUCCCCGCACAAGUGUAAAUCGGAACGAACCACUCACCGACUAUCAACGGCCCCAAGAUAAAGAGGGAACUAGACAAAAAACAAACAACUAGAAAACCACCUAACACCCCACCGUUAACCCCACACUGGUGUGCUACCAGGAAAGACUAAAAGAAAAAGAAGGAACUCGGCAAACAUAAGCCUCGCCUGUUUACCAAAAACAUCGCCUCUUGUACCCCAAAAUAUAAGAGGUCCCGCCUGCCCUGUGACUAUA